CCGACAGGCUCCUAUCAGAGCUUCUCGCUGGCCACACGCCCCCCAGAGAGCAAGGGGCAAGGGAGCCUGGGCCACUGCUCACCAGGGCAGCCUCCCGGGCAGGAGCACAGUGAGGAGGCACAGCAAACAGACGUGCAGAGGCCCCUGGUCGACCCCAGCAGCCCCAGGUGCGUGGCCAGUAGGUGAGGAAGGCAGAAUUGCCACAUGGUGAAUGAAGACCUUCGGCUUCCUGAGUGGGGAUCAUCCAAGGAAACCCGACACACGCAUGCCUUCUAUUCCUCCAUUAUUUGCCUCUCCCCUUCCAGCGGCAACUGCUGUCCUAGGCCUUUCGCUGUGUCUGUUCUGUCCGCUGGAUGGAGUCCCUAAGGAUCCCUCUGUGCUGGCCACCUGCAAGGCUCAGACCCAUCCUGCCCAGCCCCCAGGUCCCGCCGCUCCCCGGCCUCGCCAGCACCUCGUGUCCUGGUCCCGUCACCCUGGCCGUCCAGCAGGUCCGUGCCGUCCGUCGGGCACUCGAGGCUCCUUCCCCCGGUCAUCUGCACAGCUGCUGUCUCUAGUGGCUCCGACACUCUUGAAAGCUGGCCCUCAUUCCAGGCAUAGCUGGCCUGCCAGCCUCGCUGCCCAAGGAGGCCCAGCAGAAGCCACUGUCAGCAGAAAGGCUUGCCUCGCUACAGCUGUGCGAAGCUCUCCCCAGCCCUGGACAGCUCCAGCCUUGGCAUCCCAGGGCUUGACCUGGGCGAGUCCUGAAUCUCUGGACCCCCAAGCCCCUCAGGCAGCGCCUCCCACAGGACUCGGCUGAGUGGUGCUGCAGGCCUGGACGUGCCAUCCUGCUCCCUGGCUGGGGAACUAAGACCCCACAUGCCACAAGGCACCGCCAAGGAAAGCAGAGACUUCCUGG
rnacentral:lncRNA from 1 species